rnacentral:rRNA from 1 species
GACGUCUACGAGUUUGAUCAUGGCUCAGGGUGAACGCUGACGGCGUGCUUGACACAUGCAAGUCGAACGGUAUGUGGCAACACAUAGAGUGGCGAACGGGUGAGUAACACGUGGGAACGUACCCUACGCAGGGGGAUAACUGACCGAAAGGACAGCUAAUACCGCAUAAGACCGAAAGGUGAAAGGUGCAAAUGCAUCGGCGAAGGAGCGGCCCGCGGACCAUCAGCUAGUUGGUGGGGUAAGAGCCUACCAAGGCGACGACGGUUAGUCGGCGUGAGAGCGUGGCCGGCCACAAGGACACUGAGAUACGGGUCCUACUCCUACGGGAGGCAGCAGUGCGGAAUUUUAGAUAAUGGAGGCAACUCUGAUCUAGCGACGCCGCGUGCAGGAAGAAGGUCUUCGGAUUGUAAACUGCUGUGGUAAGGGAAAAAUGUCAUGUAGAGUGGAAAGCUACAUGGAGGGAUGGUACCUUACUAGAAAGCCCCGGCUAACUACGUG